AACGUAGGAGGCGAGCGUUAUCCGGAUUUACUGGGCGUAAAGCGCGUGCAGGCGGUCAUGCAAGUUGGGCGUGAAAUCUCCUGGCUUAACUGGGAGGGGUCGUUCAAGACUGUGUGACUUGAGUGCAGGAGAGGGAAGCGGAAUUCCUGGUGUAGCGGUAAUAUGCGCAGAUAUCAGGAGGAACAUCCGUGGCGAAGGCGGCUUCCUGGCCUGUAACUGACGCUCAGACGCGAAAGCUAGGGUAGCGAAC
rnacentral:rRNA from 1 species